rnacentral:rRNA from 1 species
GUGGGGAAUAUUGGACAAUGGGGGGAACCCUGAUCCAGCCAUGCCGCGUGUGUGAAGAAGGCCUUUUGGUUGUAAAGCACUUUAAGCGAGGAGGAGGCUACCGAGAUUAAUACUCUUGGAUAGUGGACGUUACUCGCAGAAUAAGCACCGGCUAACUCUGUGCCAGCAGCCGCGGUAAUACAGAGGGUGCAAGCGUUAAUCGGAUUUACUGGGCGUAAAGCGCGCGUAGGUGGCCAAUUAAGUCAAAUGUGAAAUCCCCGAGCUUAAGUUGUGAAUUGCAUUCGAUACUGGUUGGCUAGAGUAUGGGAGAGGAUGGUAGAAUUCCAGGUGUAGCGGUGAAAUGCGUAGAGAUCUGGAGGAAUACCGAUGGCGAAGGCAGCCAUCUGGCCUAAUACUGACACUGAGGUGCGAAAGCAUGGGAGCAAACAGGAUUAGAUACCCUAGUAGUCC